CGAACGCUGGCGGCGUGCUUAACACAUGCAAGUCGAACGGAAAGGCCCCUUUGGGGGUACUCGAGUGGCGAACGGGUGAGUAACACGUGAGUAACCUGCCCUUGACUUCGGGAUAACUUCAGGAAACUGGGGCUAAUACCGGAUAGGAAUCCUUGCUGCAUGGUGGGGGUUGGAAAGCUUCGGCGGUUUUGGAUGGACUCGCGGCUUAUCAGCUUGUUGGUGGGGUAGUGGCUUACCAAGGCUUUGACGGGUAGCCGGCCUGAGAGGGCGACCGGCCACAUUGGGACUGAGAUACGGCCCAGACUCCUACGGGAGGGAGCAGUGGGGAAUAUUGAACAAUGGGCGGAAGCCUGAUGCAGCAACGCCGCGUGCGGGAUGACGGCCUUCGGGUUGUAAACCGCUUUCAGCAGGGGCGAAGCUUGUGGUGACGGUACCUGCAGAAGAAGCACCGGCUAACUACGUG
rnacentral:rRNA from 1 species